rnacentral:rRNA from 1 species
UACGAAGGGGGGCUAGCGUUGCUCGGAAUCACUGGGCGUAAAGGGUGCGUAGGCGGGUCUUUAAGUCAGGGGUGAAAUCCUGGAGCUCAACUCCAGAACUGCCUUUGAUACUGAGGAUCUUGAGUUCGGGAGAGGUGAGUGGAACUGCGAGUGUAGAGGUGAAAUUCGUAGAUAUUCGCAAGAACACCAGUGGCGAAGGCGGCUCACUGGCCCGAUACUGACGCUGAGGCACGAAAGCGUGGGAAGCAAACAGG